rnacentral:rRNA from 1 species
GGAGGGUGCAAGCGUUAAUCGGAAUUACUGGGCGUAAAGCGCACGCAGGCGGUCUGUCAAGUCGGAUGUGAAAUCCCCGGGCUCAACCUGGGAACUGCAUUCGAAACUGGCAGGCUAGAGUCUUGUAGAGGGGGGUAGAAUUCCAGGUGUAGCGGUGAAAUGCGUAGAGAUCUGGAGGAAUACCGGUGGCGAAGGCGGCCCCCUGGACAAAGACUGACGCUCAGGUGCGAAAGCGUGGGGAGCAAACAGGAUUAGAUACCCUGGUAGUCCACGCCGUAAACGAUGUCGACUUGGAGGCUGUUCCCUUGAGGAGUGGCUUCCGGAGCUAACGCGUUAAGUCGACCGCCUGGGGAGUACGGCCGCAAGGUUAAAACUCAAAUGAAUUGACGGGGGCCCGCACAGGCGGUGGAGCAUGUGGUUUAAUUCGAUGCAACGCGAAGAACCUUACCUACUCUUGACAUCCACGGAACUUAGCAGAGAUGCUUUGGUGCCUUCGGGAACCGUGAGACAGGUGC